UACGGGGGGGGCAAGCGUUGUUCGGAAUUACUGGGCGUAAAGGGCCAGUAGGCGGCCAACUAAGUCGGAUGUGAAAUCCCCAGGCUUAACCUGGGAACUGCAUCCGAUACUGGAUGGCUUGAAUUCGGGAGAGGGAUGCAGAAUUCCUGGUGUAGCGGUGAAAUGCGCAGAUAUCAGGAGGAACACCGGUGGCGAAGGCGGGUCUCUGGGCCGAUACUGACGCUGAGGAGCGAAAGCGUGGGGAGCAAACAGG
rnacentral:rRNA from 1 species